UGGUAACUCAUGCUGGCGAGGGAUGAGAGGCAGCCAAGAAGCAGAUCCCCAAACAAGAGAGGAGCCGUACCUGGCUAUCAGCAUCUUGAGUCUCCAAGCUUUUGUUGAUGCCUCCCAGGAUAAGGAGGCUGUGUUACCAAAAAUGCGGUCCAGAGACUCAUCGCUUUAAAGCCAGUACUCCAGAGGCAAGGUU